UGGUGAGAGAUGACCCCUGUUGAGGAUA
rnacentral:piRNA from 1 species